ACCUGACUGGCUCAGUUGGUGGAGCAUGCGACUCUUGAUCUCAGAGUUGUGAGUUCGAGUGCCGUGUUGGGUG
rnacentral:tRNA from 1 species